GACUCUCGGCAACGGAUAUCUCGGCUCACGCAUCGAUGAAGAACGUAGCAAAAUGCGAUACUUGGUGUGAAUUGCAGAAUCCCGUGAACCAUCGAGUUUUUGAACGCAAGUUGCGCCCGAAGCCAUCCGGUUUAGGGCACGCCUGCCUGGGCGUCACGCAUCGC
rnacentral:rRNA from 2 species